AAGCGUGCGCAGGCGGUUAUAUAAGACAGAUGUGAAAUCCCCGGGCCUCAACCUGGGAACUGCAUUUGUGACUGUAUAGCUAGAGUACGGUAGAGGGGGAUGGAAUUCCGCGUGUAGCAGUGAAAUGCGUAGAUAUGCGGAGGAACACCGAUGGCGAAGGCAAUCCCCUGGACCUGUACUGACGCUCAUGCACGAAAGCGUGGGGAGCAAACAGGAUUAGAUACCCCUGU
rnacentral:rRNA from 1 species